UACUCAUAUACAUUAAAUAAAUAAUAAAUCUUUUUUAAAAAGUUUUCAAUUAUGGAGUAGUAUUUGGACUGGUUCGUUUUAUUGUUAACUUGACACAAACUAAACUCAUCUGGAAAAAGGGAACUUUAACUGAGAAAACUACCUUUCAGAUUGGCCUGUCAGCAAGUCUAUGGGUGAUUUACUCGAUUAAUGAUUGAUUUGGGGUAGACUAGCUUGUGGGUGGUACCAUUCCUGGGACACGGUCCUUGGUUGAAUAAGAAAGCAGGGUGAGCAAGCCAUGAAGAGCAGUUGAUAAGCAGUGUCCCUCUGUGGCCUCUCACAAAGUGAGAAGAAUGUGCUACCUGGCUGGAGAGAUGUGGGAGAAAGGAGUGGCCACUGUUGGGGAAUGAAGAGCUCUUCUGAGGCCCAUGGCGAGCUACAAGCUCUCUCCUUUCUCUGCUGCUGCUGACCAGGCCAGGCAUCUCCACCUGACAGAUGCAGACUAUAGUUCAGUCCAUGAGGGCUGUGUCCCUAUUCUAAUUCUUUCAGGCUGGUUCCGAGGUGGGGCCCAGAUUUUGGAGGUGGGAGAAGAAAGCCAGAACAGUCUUGCCUUCCAGUUUCCCUUUCCCAUUAGUGAGAAUAAAUAUCUUGAUCCAUACUUGAUUUUGAUGUUAAUCUCCCAGUCAAUACAGAACAUUAAAGGGAGCUGGCCAGUGGGCUUGUGCCUCGGUGUUCUGGUCAUGGAAAGCAUCUGGUUUAUGUUUCAGUGAUCAUUUUGAAUGAGAUCAAUGAGAUAAGGCAGAGACAAGGCAGAAGUUCUGGAGAACUUUUCUUAAGUUUUGCUGUUAAGACACUUCUCUACUAAAAAGCAUCAACAAAACUUCUCACAACCAUGAAACACUGAAAUUUCCUGGUGACAUUCAUCAUCUCACUGACAAUAGGCUAGUCUUCAGGUUGUUUCCUUCCUGAGAUAUUCGAUUCCAGUGAACAAGAUGUGCUACAGAGUGACUCAGGCAGCUAGUUUUGAGUAGUAUUCUUUAGAGCUAGAAAAUGCCAUGGGUAAUCUGGUAAAAUGCUGUUCUUAUAUGUAGAAGGGAGAGAUUAUCUUAGUCCAUUUGUGCUAGUGAACAAAAUACCGCAGCCAGAUUAAUUUAUAAAGAACAGAAAUAUAUUUUUAACAGUUAAAGAGAACCUGAGUUCUGCUGCCAAGAUGGUGCCUUACUGUGGCACCAUCCAAAGGACAAGAGAAUUGUGUCUUCAUAGGAGAGAAGGGGGAAGGCAAAACACGAUGGCAUGGUCUCUUCUUCAGACACCUUUCCCGGUAUUGACAUUAACCCAUCUACAGCGGAAACUUCAUGGCCUACCCUCUUCUAAAAGGGUCCAGUUCCUACUACUAUUGCAUGAAGGUUAAUGUUUCCAACAUGUGAAUUUAAAUUUGAGGGAACACAUUCAAGCCAUAGCAGAAAUGCUAAUUUAGUAGGUCCUAGAGAGUCCAUGACUUGUUCCUGUGAAGCAGGAAUUGAAAGAAUAUCCAUUAUUGAUAAAAUAUUGACGUGAGCGCAUUUUUUGAAGUUUAGAAAUUAUAUAGAGAGACAAUUUUGUAGACACAGAGAUGAAAGAGUUCUUGGUUCAAGAGUAAACAUUGGGAUCCCAGGCAAUAGCUGGAGGGCUUAUGGAGAACAUGAGGCCCAAGCAUCCAUGUCUGCAUAUCUUUAUGUCCUGAGAAAUUAAACGACCCUGAUUCAGUAAGAAGGAGAGGUCUCAUUUCUGUAGAAAACAGACCAUGUCUGGGUUAUAGCAGAUACUGACAUCCCUUCUGAGGACUCUGGGAAGAUCUAGACCAUAGCAAGAUUGUGGAAGACUAGAAAUCCUUUAAAGUACCCAGCCCUCUUCUGAUGGCCUGUGGCCCUUCUUUCCUGGGUAUGUAGACUGUUCCCCUGCCUUGGGAAACACAAUAUAGCAUAUUGUUGUGAGGGUCCCAACUUCAAGAGACUGACUAUAUUUGUGUCCAUGAUUUACAUGGACAUUGUGCUCCAUGUCAUAGAACUGUGACACUUAGUAUGUACUCCACAGGGAAGAGAUCUCAUCAGCCCUGUAGAGGCCCAAACAGCAAUGUCACUGGCUCCUGCGCAUGAGAUCUGUUGAUAUCCCAGUGAACAAGCAAGUGAUUUGCCAGCCAUGUGAGGGACUCUCCAGCCCUAGAUGGGUCCUCACCAUGUCUCUGUGGAGUCCAGAAAGCCUUCCUUGUCUCCUUUCCUAACUGGGCAAAUCAAUGAGUGCUUUAGGCAACCUGAAUUGGGGGUGGCUUAUGGCAUAGCAACAAAGAAUGAGGCCAAAGCAUACCAGCAGCCAUCAACAUCUUCUAAAGACAAUCAAAAGUAGCACACAUGCAUGAAUAAUCACAAGCAGAAGAAAAUGAGAAUUUUUAUAAAGAAGCAGUUGAGAAAUAUGACCAGACUUCUCUCAAACAGAAGCUGGUAUGGACGUACUAUUGAGGGUAAAGUGUACUUCUGAGAUUUGUAUGAUUCAUUUCUUGAAGGAUAAAUGGAUGAGCGUGCAUCCAAACAAAGAUUUUAUCUAUAAUGACACUUGGGUGUUUGGUGUACAUCCCGCUACAGCUUCGUGAUCAAGAGGGGAAGAUUUAUAAUUAUAACUCUGCACACAGAGAUAUGUGCAAAAUAUUAUAUGCAGAAGGAGGAUUGAUUCUGUCAGGGAAAUCAGAUAACGGUUGAUGGAGAAGACAGUUGGUACUGCCUAGGAAGUGCGUUUGAGUGAUUGAGAUACCGCAGGCAAAUUCAAAGGGCAAAUCAGGGAGUGGGCAAGAAAUAUUUGUGAUGUAUAUGACAAUUAAAGGUGUGUGUGUGUGUGUGUGUGUGUGUGUGAGAGAGAGAGAGAGAGAGAGAGAGAGAGAGAGAGACAGACAGACAGAGACAGAAACAGAGACAGAGAGACAGAGAGAGACAGAGAGACAUGCAUUUUAUGUGUAUAUGGUAUACAUGUAUAAUUGUUCAUGUGUAUGGAUGUGGUCACACAGAAGCCACAGCAUGCACGUAGAGGUCAGAGGAUAAUCUUGGGUGUCAUUUCUCACCUUCUACCUUAUUUGAGACAGAUCCCUUGUCUUUCACUGCUAUGUAAGUCAGGUUACCUGGCUUAUAUACUGGGCAUUCUGCUGUCUCUGCCUCCAGUCUUUGUGUAGGACCUUAGACUUGAUAUAUAUAUGUGCUCUACUGUGCCUGGCUGGAUUUCACAUAGGUUCUGGGAUCCCAGCUCAGGUUGUCAGGCUUGUUCCAUAAAUGCUUCAUGUACUUCUCCAUCUCCUUCAUCACAACUAGAUUUUUUGAGGCCAUAACCUUACAGCCUGUGACCCAUAAAGUACUUAUUUAAAAGACAGCCUUCUGGAAAAAAUGUAAUCUUCAACCAAUGAAAGUAGAAUCCAUAGCUCUUAUUGGCAAUGACAGACAGCCUGUUGGUCUUUGAUUUGGAAAGUCAGGAUGGAAUCUGACAGAUCCAGAAGUAGAGAUGCACUUGUGAUGCAGAGAGCGGGUGGUAGAACAUGACAUGUCAUCUCCGCUUUCCAUCUUCGAUACGCUGGGUUUCAUUACUUGUAGGGUAGCAAUGUGGCUUUCAGACUCUAGCUAGAUGGUGACAAGUCUUUCUGUUUAGGAAAAAAAAUCCCAGUAUGCAUUCUGUGUAACUGAAAAUGAAGGGAUUCUUUGUUCUGUUUUGUUCGUUACAAUCCCUGCCUAAUUAGCAUUAGCUCAAAUGCAUCUUUGACUUUAAUAUGUAAUAGCAUAUAAAUGUGCCAAGCUCAAAGGAUCUUAAAAUGACUUGGCUCUCAUUCAUUUGACAAAUCUAUCUAGCCGUUAGUCAUCAGGAGACUAAGAUGAGCUACACAGUUAGCCCUGACUUCUAAAUUACCUGCACCUCCCAACUUCUGUACUGUAGCAUCGUGGCAUGUGGACUUCUGCUCUCCUUCCCAAAGCUACCCAAUUACUCCUCAGAAUUCUUGGCAAAUGUUCAUUCUAUCAGAGGAUUACAAACACGUUAGUGGAAAUAAUAUAGAGAGUGUUCUUUCUGACUUGUUUGGACUUGGAACCAGUAAUAAAGAUGUUCUAGGCUCACUCAAGUGCUUGGGGUGAAUUGACACCAUUCCCCCCGCCCCCAAACCUGUGGCAUUCCCACGUACUGGAGAAACACAGUAGUGGGGAGAGCAUGGCUCAGUGGAUAAAGUUAAACUCUGGCUUUUCAGGCCCCACUGUAUGUUUCAUCCACUAACUUGAACUAGGAAAGGGAGACUUCAAAGAAGGCCACUCCAUAGUUCGUAUCAUCCAGAUGAUGAUCUGAUUGUCUUGAAAGAAAGCUGAAUACCUUGCCUGUCAUUAGACUGGAAACUGAAGAACUUGAUACCUCAGAUUCAAUUUUAUAAAAUGAUUUUUUUCCUGUGAAGAGUCAACUCAAAGCACAUCCUGAGUUUUCCAUAAUUGGAACUAGAGAAAUCUAAAGUACCCAAGGCUAUUGCUUACUGCUUUCUGAGUGCCUGAGUGUUUUUGGUCCAGUGGUCCCAUAAGCUAUUAAACUUUUAUUAAUGUGUUGAAAAGAAAAUGCUUUGCUAGAGCGCCACACUUCUUAGAGCAGAGAUAAAUAGGAAUAUAUAAUAUAAACUGCAAGGGCCAGCCACAUUUGUAACUCAAAGUGUGGAGGAGGCAUGUGUAAAUUUGGGGGAGUUAAGUGCUUACCUAGGAAAGAAUAAAUACCCUAAAUUAAUCUAAACUUAAGAGACUAGAAAAAAUAAGAGCAAAUUAAAGCCAAAGCAAGCAGAGUGGGGAAACUACAAAGAGCAGCGAUCGAUACAAUUGAAAACAGAAACACAAUAGGAAAAUCAAUACGGCCAAAGCCAGCUCUUUGAAAAGGUCAAUUAAAUUGAUGAACCUCUUGCCAGACCAAGAAGGAAAAAGAGAGAAGGCAAAAAUUACCAAUAUUAGACAUGAAGAAUAGGUCUUAGUAUGAAUCCCGUAGUCAUUAAAUGUAUAAUGAGAAAGUGCCAAGAACAUCUGUCUGUACAUGAAUUCAACAGCUUAGAUGAAAUGAACUGAGUCCUUGAAAGUAUAAAUUACCAAACCCAAUCAAACAGCAAAAUAAAAAGAAACAAGUGAAAGUAAUUUAAUAAUAUGCUUAAUUUACUCCAAUAUACACCAAAUAUUACCAUUUAGCAAGUAAUCAUUUUAAAAUUACAGAUGAAAUAUUGCAUCAGACCAGUGAGAUACUGUGACUUUAACCCAUCCCUUGCAAAUGAUUAGUGGUCACCAUGUGUCCAGUAUGGUAGAUUUGGAGAAUAAAGGAGUCUACAUCUUGGGAUUUCUUUGCCUUGUUUUCUAGCUCAAGGGGGAACUUAGGAAGAGUCAGUGCCAUGUAAGUCCUGAAAAGAGAAACAGUGGCCUGAUAUUUCUGUCAGGGGAACUAAAUUUUAAAAGAAAAAAAUGUUUUCUAGUGGUAGAUUUUUAUAACUAGUUAAGCAAUGUUAUUGAACAUGGUUGUAAGAGGAAUAAAAAUAUUUUUCUGAUGCAAUACUUCUGAGAACUGUUAUGUGAAUAUGUGUGAAUGUGUUUGUAGCUGUGGCUGAGAAGCAUAUGAAUGUGUGUUGUGAUGGCUUGUAUAUGCUCCACCCAGGGAGUGGCACUUCUAGAGAGUGUGGUCCUGUUGGAGGAGGUGUGGCCUUUUUGGAGUAGGUGUGUCACUGUGGAUGUGGACUUUAAAACCCUCAUCCUAGCUGCCUGGAAGUCAGUAUUCUGCAACAGCCUUCAGAUGAAGAUGUAGAACUCUCAGCUCCUCCUGUACCAUGCCUACCUGGAUGCUGCCAUGUUCCUGUCUUGAUUAUAAAGGAAUUCUUGUUCUUUACAAGACUUGCCUUGGUCACGGUGUCUCUUCACAGCACUAAAACCCUAACUAAGACAUGUGUGAAUGUAUUUGCGUGUAUGUUUCCUAACUGUUUGAAACUGAUUUUGCUUUAAACAGUAAUGUCUUUCAAACUACUGGAGUGAUGGCUCAGUGGUUAAAGGGACAACUCUUUUAGAGGACUUGUGUUAGGUUCCCAGCACACACAUCCAUGCAGUUAACUCUAGAUUCAAGGGAUCUGAUGCCUCUGGUCUCUGUUGACACCUGCACUCAUCUACACAUACCCACGCAGAGAUAAUCACACACACACACACACACACACACACACACACACACACACCUAGAAUUAUAAUUUAAAAUUUUUAAAGGAAAUAGUUUGAAUUCAUGAAGGUAAAACUGUGUGUUACUACUGUUUGAAAAGCUACCAGUAGACGACCAUAAUUAAAUGGCGAGUGGCCUGGUUCCCACUUCUGGCAGCAUCACUGCACAUUUCAUUAAUACUUGUAUGUGUAAUUAAUUUGUUGUCUGUUGUUCAUUCAUGGCUCACAUAUUGCUCAGUGGAUUUCUCAUGGUUACAUUAUGUAAUGAUGAUAACAUCAGAGACUAAAUGCCAUUCAGAUUCUAAAAAUAACUGUAAUCGUUUCUUAAAUAUGUUUUUGCUUAAUUGGGCUCAAUGUUGGCUAACAGAUCAUUAAAGGUUUUGUUACUUGAGUGAUGGGUAUUGUAAUGACUAGUGAGGAUGUGCUUUCUGUGGUUAAAUACCUUGGAGAUUUCUGUAUUUCUUAAUUCAUUUAUAUAUAUUUCACAUCUAACUAGUUUUCAGUCAUGUCAUAGAUAAUGAUCCAAAUGUUGAAUAUAAACAAGGGGAGUAGUGCAAAUACGGUGUCUAAUAGCUGGCGUGUUCCAUCUAUUUUUCUUUUCUUUUAAUUACAUGUAAAAAUAGGGCAAAGGUUGAAAUAGUUUGUGAAAUCUCUCAACCAGGCUGGCAACAGCAUCAUCUGAAUGCCUCAGAAGUGAGCCGGUCCUCAGAUCCAAGCCCUGAGCUAUGUACCUGGAAAAAGUGAUGGAGAGUUAAGAUUAGGAAGUCAAAGAAUUUAUGCUGGAUUUUCUUUUUCUUCUAAGAGAGAACAAUGUCUGUAUCACUUGAGAUUUACAAGUGGUCUACACCGAAGAGUUUAGCGAAGUAUAGAGAAAUGGAACAUUCUCACCCCUGAUAGUCCUGCCCUGUGCCAGUCAAGGAGUCAGCAUGAGUCAUUGCUUCUAAUAGAGGAGGUUUGGUUCAACCAUCGCAAGGCAAACAAGCAAACAAACAAAUAAUAAUCAUGAUGAUGAUAAUAGUAAUAAUAAUCAACUAGCUACACUUGAAAAUAAUUUAUUUCUAUAGUUAAUAGAAUAUCACCAGCUUGUUGGUCCCUUGUAUUCCUGUGAGGUGUCCUGCCUGUACAUGGCUCAGGGUUUGUGCACAGGGGGUUAUGAAUGUGAAACAUUUAAUAAGUUCUUCCUUCUCCUUGAAAAGCUUUAUAGGUGAUAAUGGCUGUUCCCUGUAUCCAUCCACUGUGCCCUGAUCAUCCUACACAUCCUGAACAGAGCAUGUAAUCCUUACAUUGACCUUACAGGACAGGAAACACAUGUAACAGAUGCCGAAACAGGUUCAGAAAUUGCUAGUGACCAAUCUCACAGUGGCUUCUGCCAGACCAAGUCAUCGGUAUCCAAGUUCAUUUAAGGAUGUAUUAUUAGUAAUCAGAAUGUAGAUAUUGCAAGAUAAUAUAUGAAAAACUGUAUUUUCUGAUGUGCUGAAGGAUAGCUUGAUAGAAAGGAUAGCUCAAAAGUGGAGAGUGUAUUUGGAUCUUGAAGGAAGUGACAUGUUAGGGUUGAGAGUCGUCAGCUACAAAGAAAAAUGAAACUAGGGCAUUUGCAGGAAUAUUAGAUUAGGCCACCCAGACCCAGAAAAGCAAAAAUCACAUGUUGUCUCUCCUAUGCAGGUCUUAAUUUUUAAUGUUUAUAUAUGUAUAAAAAGGUAGUGUGAGAGUGGACAUAGAACACUAAACUAGGUAGGAGAUCAUGGAGUGGAGAAGCAGGAGGGAUUGAUAAAAGAUAGGAGAGGUCAAAAGGUCACACAGGAUAUUAAAAAGUUGAAAAGUGCUACUAGGGGAGGGAAGGGCAGAGGAGGAGGAGGAGGAGCAGAGGAGCAAAGGGCAACAAUGAAACCAAAUUCUUUGUAUGCUAAUUUUUAUGAAUACUACAAGUGUAAGUAUGACUUGGCAUGGCAGAAGCCACUGUGGGAUUGAUCAUUAGCCAUUUCUGAAUGUGUUUAGGCAUCUGUUGAAUGUGAGUGCCUCCUAUCCUGUAAGAUUGGCUUAAGGAUUAAGUUUAAAGAAUUAAGAGGAACGGAUCUGUAACACUGUUGAGAUAGAUAAGGGCAAGACACACAAAGCCUCACAAAGAGCCCUGUCAGGCAUCAAAAGAUAAGACUCCAUUGGUGUGGAAGCCACAGGCUAGAGUCAGAAGAUCGUGUGCUGGGCUCCAGAUUGGGUAUCGUGGUGGUAGUCAAGCAGGGGGUAGAUUUGACAAAAUCGUUUCAUGGUAGUUUCCUUUGUAAUUAUUUACAGGGUGCAGCUGAAUGAGAAAAAUUCUAAACUUAAAGAUGUCAUUGGAAGCUAUUAACGUUGAGAUUUACAUUACAAUUCUGAUGGAAAGUGCAACAUGGGUCAAAUCUAAACGUCUUUGAUAGAGUUCUUAGCACAGUAUGUUUGUUUAGUAGAAAUGACUUUUUGCUAGUGAAUUAUAAACAAGAUGUUUCAGUAUCAGUUUAUUUCACAUAAAGAGUAAGAGAAUAGUCAAAGUUAUCUCACACCCUUAAUCAUGUAGGAUAAGAAUAAAGGAUACCCCAAUGACAUCAUUACAUCACUGCCCACAUGAAAUCAGGAUACCCUAUAUAUGCAGUCACAGCUAACAUUUGCUAGAUGGUCAGUUAUCAAACACAAAAGUUCACUAGUUUAGCGAAAAGAAGAAUGGGCAGUGAGCCCAAGAGAAAAAAAAAGCCAUUUUCAGAUAUCUGACUGCUCUAUUCACAAUAGCAAAGACCUGGAAUUAGCCUAGAUAUCCAUCAAUAGAUGAAUGGAUAGCAAAAUGUGAUUCAUAUAAUGGAAUUCUAUUCCACUGUAAAGAAAAAUGGAACAAUGAAAUUUGUAGAAAAAAAAAUGGAUGGAGCAGUAGAAUAUCAAAUUGAGGUAACCCAGGCUCAGAAAUACAAAUGCUGAACAUUCCUUCUCAUAUGUAGAUCUGUAAAAAAAAACUUUUAUUCUCCUUAGUAACUGUCAUCUCAGGAGCUUGCUGCUUCCAUCUCCUAACCUAGGCCUAGUGCUAGAAGUUUCUAGCCUCUGUAUAAUCAAAUCUAGGCCUAGAAUGUUUUUAGCCUCAGACUUGCUACUGAAUAAACUCACCCUUUCUAGUUCUUUCUGAGUUCUGGCUGGCUGGUUGAACUCAGGACAGUUCUGGCUCCACCUUCUCUCCAAGCUGACUAAUUCAACCUGACUUCUUUUUUGGCCUCUGACAGAAUUGCUCUACUUGGCCUCAAAAUAACUCUGGCAAGCUGUUUUAAUCCUCUGGCUCCUUCUCACUCUCUGGCUCAUUCUGCCUUCACCUGUGUCUAGCUCGUUCUCUCUUCAACCCAUCUCUGUGAAACUCUUCCAGUAAAAUUGCCUCCUUCUCUUUGUCUCUGUACUGCCCCUCAAGUAGCUUUCCUUUUCUCUCCCUUCUUGUGAGAAUUGGGCAUAUCAUAUAAUGUCAAAUCUUUGUCUGAUUCAUUACUUUGUCUGCCGCUCAGUUGAGCAUCACUUAAAAACAUGGGUGCUUUCCUUCUACAAACUAUCUUCAUUGUUUGGGAUUAAAGGUGUGUGCUAAGGACUGAGCCACACAACUAGAAACAGGUUUUUUCCCCCCAGUAAGUAGUACAAUCUUGGGGUUCGUGGCAUAAUCAAAUAUCAUGCAACAGUGAUCCUAGCUUCUAGUGUUUGUACAUGCGUGCAUAUGUGCAUGUGUGUGUAUAUGCAUGUACUUGUGCACAAAUGUGCAUGAACCUGUGUAAGUAGACGUAUGGGUUUCUAUGGGUUCUGGGGAUCAAACUCAGGUCAUGGUGCUUAUGCAGCACGCAGUUCACCAGUGGAGCUAUCUCCUUUGACCCCAUUUGUAACAGGUUUUUAUAUGUGCUUAGUUAUGUGUGAAUGAGCGUGAGCAGAGGUCUAGAAAUGAGAUAGGGAACCACGAGAGGGAAAAGAGGAUGGGAAGGCCAGUAGAACCCAUAGGAUUUGAAAGUGAAAAGGGAAACCCAGGGAAUGAUGUGCCAAGUAAUCACAUGGGAGAGGGCAGAGAGGUGAGACAGGAAGGGCAAGGGUUUGGUUGAAGAGGAUCAACCAAAACACAGAAGGAAACUCAUCUUCUUUUUUAAAAAUUCAAAAAGGAAGAAAAGACGAGACAAGGCAAUGGAAAAUUCGAGGCAAAGAACAUUCAGAGCAUACAAGUAUGAGGGAAAGGAAAUUCCAGGACAAAAAUAUGAAAUAACAUUUGAAAUAGCAACACAUUGGAAAAAUCUAGUGUUAGAUCUGACAACCAGAAAAUGAUUGCUCUCAUGGACGUCUCUAGGGCAUUCCUUUCUUCGGCCAGUGACCAUGCUGUCGUCUGGGUACUUGGAAUUGUCAUCUCUCUAUAAUCUACUCCAGUGUCCUUUUCUUCAGAGAUGCAAAUGUUCCAUGCUGCCUUGGUUGUUGGUCUGUGAACACAGGUCCAUCUCUGAGUCCUGGCCCUGUGUUUGGGCUAUAUGUUAAAUAAAUGUUUAUAGAAUGAAAGGAAGGACUGAAUGAAUGCAUAUCCACUCCAUAACUGGGCAAAAGAAACACACGAAAAUGAAUCCAGGUAAAGAAAUACACUAGAGGUGACUGGAGCCAUACUCACAGACCUGCUCCUCUUGAUCUCGCCAGUUGGAGGGUUUGAAGAAUCAAUAAUUAAUGUAUAGGACAUUCUAGUUCCUAAAACACAUGGUGGGACUGAUUAAUUAUUGAUACUAUUAGUGUUUCUGAUUUGUAUCAUUAUUCUUCUAACUGAGCUGGAGGAUGGAUUUCCAUGUGAAUUAUUGAUACCCUCAUUUUAGAAUGCCAAAGCGGCCUCCCUUGUGAAGUCUUUGCCGAGCUCUGCCCUGCUCUUUGCCUGUCUUUCUCCUCAGAGUUCACUGGGGGUUCUCAGUACACACUUGUUUGAUGCAGCGUGUCUCACCCGAGUGCUGGCUUCAUGUAAGCUUGGUCUGUGUAAAGUGCUCUAAGUGCAGUUUAGUAUUUAGCCCUACACCAUCGUGUGCACCUGACGCGGGCCACAUCCUUAUCCCACAUGGGAUAAGACUGGUUAAAGAAAGGCAUUCUGAAGUUGGCGCUCUUGACUCUUAACAUUUAGCAUUGCUUUUAAUAUUGGUUUGCUUGAAUUUUUAUACAUGUAUAUGCUUCUCAUAAUACUGCAGGGUUUCCUCUGAGUAGAGACUGUAUAGCAAUACUAAGCUAUUAUCUGGUUAACUUUUGUCUAAAUUAGUUGUAGGAACUUUAAAUUGUACCAUGACCCAUACUUGAAGAUAACUCAGUGGGCAAGUAUUGAUUAUUCUGUAUCAACUGGCCUUUAAACAUAAAGUUCAAAUAUGAAAUAUAUUUAAAUGUUUUAAAUGUAUUAUUUGUUCAUAUUUAAAAUAACCGUCUGAGGUUAAGUCUAUAAGAGACAGCAUCUUACCAGUGGAGCCUGUUAGUUCUUCCUAUCCAGACCUGGAUCCAGUGUUGCUAUAUUGUGGUGUAACCUUUGGGGAGCUACUGAUCACUCACUGUUUCAGCUUCCACACCUGUAAGUUUUCACAUCCACUCAGAAAGUGGGCGUGAGUGUCUAGGAGUUGAGAGAGUUAACGCCUUUAAAACAAGGGUUACAUUGAAUGAGUGUAGAAAUGAUUGUAACCAUCACUAUUUUAGUUAUUAUUUUUCUUCUUCCAUUUCCAUGUGAAUGUGGUAGAUUGUACAUACAUGGCAUGCAUGUGUGUAUAUGCAUGUUUGCAUAUGUGGGGCACACAUGUGUACACGUGCACAUGGAGGCCUGAAGUUGACAUCCAGAAUCAUCCAUUGAUGUUCCACCUUGUUCCGUGAGGCAAAGUAUCUCAGGCAAGUCCAGAGCUCACUGGUACAGCUCCUCUUGCUAGCUAGCCAGCUUGCUGUCGGGACCUUCCAUCUCUACUUUCAGACAUUGAGAUUACAGACAGGCACCUAUGUAUAUUUGGCAUUAGGGGUGGGGGAGGUUCUGGGAAUCCGAACUGUAGUCCUCAUUCUAGCUUCAGCACAAUAACUAUCGGGUUAUCCUGCAGCCCCUAUCAGUAUUGGAAAAAAAAAUUAAUUAAUUUUUAUAUGUGUGAAUGUUUUGCCUGCAUGUCUGUAUGUGUACCAGCUGUGUACCUGGUGCCCACAGAUUACAGAAGAAGGCAUCAGAUACUCUGGGAUUGGAGUUAUGAGUUACAAAUGAUUGUGGGUUCUCAUUGGGUGCUGGAAAUGAAACCCAGAUCCUCUGGAAGUGUAGCCAAUGCCUUUAAUGUCUGAGCUUCUCUCUAGUGUCUACACUAUCAGUAUUUUAAUCCUCAUUUUACAAACGAAGAAACUAAUACAUGCCCUAAGCAAGUUCUUAGUCCAGUUCUUAAAGGUUAAGGAAACACUUGUCCUGGAACCCCAGCCCAAUAGUUGCCUUUGUGUCAAAUCGUGCCCAGAUGCAAGCCCUUCAAUCAUUGGCUGGAUUUUAAGGACCCACUCACUGAGGAAAUGUCUAACAGUGACACAGGUUCCUUCUUACCUGACUCAGUAGGACCACUUAGUAAUAUCAAUGUCACAGUUGUGGGUCUCAUCUGAUUUAGAGGAACCAAGUUGCCAUAGCAACAGGAUGGCUGUGUUCUAACAGGCCAGGGUCCAUCCUGUCUGCCUGCUCUGUGCUUGGCAUUGCCAAGGACAUGAAAGAAAUGUAAGAGGCACUCUUGGCUGCUAGAAGUUUAUAAUGUAUAAUGCAUAGAGGACAAAAUGACCCUGUUAGGUCCACGAAGCAAUUAAGUAACUGCGAUCACAACAUCAAGGCUCAAGAUGAUUAAUUAAGUCCCCAGAUGAAGGAUGCUGAUAGCAAAAGCACCAUAGGCAAGUUUGGGGGAGAAAAGAAGUUAAUUUAGCUGGAGCGGUUUCAUGGAGAAGGUGGCAUUUAAGGACAGCUUUGAAAUAAUGGUGUUGUGGGGUCAGUGUGUGAGGGAGAAAAAGUUUCUGGAAGGGAAGGAGGCUACUCUCAGGUCCAAAGUGGCUGCUUCCGCUUUGCUGUGUUUCCCCCUGAGAACAGAUGUGAGCUUAUUACUUAUGUUUAUUUAUUCUUCUGUUUGGUACAAAAACUUCCUAAUGUUCUAGCUUUCAUCACGUCUCAGAGAAUAUGUCAUUCUCCUUAUUGUUGUUGUUGUUUUUGAUCAAGCCUGAAGAGUUCCAGUUACCCGGCAUAA